rnacentral:rRNA from 1 species
GGUUAAGCGACUAAGCGUACACGGUGGAUGCCCUGGCAGUCAGAGGCGAUGAAGGACGUGCUAAUCUGCGAUAAGCGUCGGUAAGGUGAUAUGAACCGUUAUAACCGGCGAUUUCCGAAUGGGGAAACCCAGUGUGAUUCGUCACACUAUCAUUAACUGAAUCCAUAGGUUAAUGAGGCGAACCGGGGGAACUGAAACAUCUAAGUACCCCGAGGAAAAGAAAUCAACCGAGAUUCCCCCAGUAGCGGCGAGCGAACGGGGAGGAGCCCAGAGCCUGAAUCAGUGUGUGUGUUAGUGGAAGCGUCUGGAAAGGCGCGCGAUACAGGGUGACAGCCCCGUACACAAAAAUGCACAUAUUGUGAGCUCGAUGAGUAGGGCGGGACACGUGGUAUCCUGUCUGAAUAUGGGGGGACCAUCCUCCAAGGCUAAAUACUCCUGACUGACCGAUAGUGAACCAGUACCGUGAGGGAAAGGCGAAAAGAACCCCGGCGAGGGGAGUGAAAAAGAACCUGAAACCGUGUACGUACAAGCAGUGGGAGCACGCUUCGGCGUGUGACUGCGUACCUUUUGUAUAAUGGGUCAGCGACUUAUAUUCUGUAGCAAGGUUAACCGAAUAGGGGAGCCGAAGGGAAACCGAGUCUUAACUGGGCGUUAAGUUGCAGGGUAUAGACCCGAAACCCGGUGAUCUAGCCAUGGGCAGGUUGAAGGUUGGGUAACACUAACUGGAGGACCGAACCGACUAAUGUUGAAAAAUUAGCGGAUGACUUGUGGCUGGGGGUGAAAGGCCAAUCAAACCGGGAGAUAGCUGGUUCUCCCCGAAAGCUAUUUAGGUAGCGCCUCGUGAAUUCAUCUCCGGGGGUAGAGCACUGUUUCGGCAAGGGGGUCAUCCCGACUUACCAACCCGAUGCAAACUGCGAAUACCGGAGAAUGUUAUCACGGGAGACACACGGCGGGUGCUAACGUCCGUCGUGAAGAGGGAAACAACCCAGACCGCCAGCUAAGGUCCCAAAGUCAUGGUUAAGUGGGAAACGAUGUGGGAAGGCCCAGACAGCCAGGAUGUUGGCUUAGAAGCAGCCAUCAUUUAAAGAAAGCGUAAUAGCUCACUGGUCGAGUCGGCCUGCGCGGAAGAUGUAACGGGGCUAAACCAUGCACCGAAGCUGCGGCAGCGACGCUUAUGCGUUGUUGGGUAGGGGAGCGUUCUGUAAGCCUGUGAAGGUGUGCUGUGAGGCAUGCUGGAGGUAUCAGAAGUGCGAAUGCUGACAUAAGUAACGAUAAAGCGGGUGAAAAGCCCGCUCGCCGGAAGACCAAGGGUUCCUGUCCAACGUUAAUCGGGGCAGGGUGAGUCGACCCCUAAGGCGAGGCCGAAAGGCGUAGUCGAUGGGAAACAGGUUAAUAUUCCUGUACUUGGUGUUACUGCGAAGGGGGGACGGAGAAGGCUAUGUUGGCCGGGCGACGGUUGUCCCGGUUUAAGCGUGUAGGCUGGUUUUCCAGGCAAAUCCGGAAAAUCAAGGCUGAGGCGUGAUGACGAGGCACUACGGUGCUGAAGCGACAAAUGCCCUGCUUCCAGGAAAAGCCUCUAAGCAUCAGGUAACAUCAAAUCGUACCCCAAACCGACACAGGUGGUCAGGUAGAGAAUACCAAGGCGCUUGAGAGAACUCGGGUGAAGGAACUAGGCAAAAUGGUGCCGUAACUUCGGGAGAAGGCACGCUGAUAUGUAGGUGAAGCGACUUGCUCGUGGAGCUGAAAUCAGUCGAAGAUACCAGCUGGCUGCAACUGUUUAUUAAAAACACAGCACUGUGCAAACACGAAAGUGGACGUAUACGGUGUGACGCCUGCCCGGUGCCGGAAGGUUAAUUGAUGGGGUUAGCGGUAACGCGAAGCUCUUGAUCGAAGCCCCGGUAAACGGCGGCCGUAACUAUAACGGUCCUAAGGUAGCGAAAUUCCUUGUCGGGUAAGUUCCGACCUGCACGAAUGGCGUAAUGAUGGCCAGGCUGUCUCCACCCGAGACUCAGUGAAAUUGAACUCGCUGUGAAGAUGCAGUGUACCCGCGGCAAGACGGAAAGACCCCGUGAACCUUUACUAUAGCUUGACACUGAACAUUGAGCCUUGAUGUGUAGGAUAGGUGGGAGGCUUUGAAGUGUGGACGCCAGUCUGCAUGGAGCCGACCUUGAAAUACCACCCUUUAAUGUUUGAUGUUCUAACGUUGGCCCGUAAUCCGGGUUGCGGACAGUGUCUGGUGGGUAGUUUGACUGGGGCGGUCUCCUCCUAAAGAGUAACGGAGGAGCACGAAGGUUGGCUAAUCCUGGUCGGACAUCAGGAGGUUAGUGCAAUGGCAUAAGCCAGCUUGACUGCGAGCGUGACGGCGCGAGCAGGUGCGAAAGCAGGUCAUAGUGAUCCGGUGGUUCUGAAUGGAAGGGCCAUCGCUCAACGGAUAAAAGGUACUCCGGGGAUAACAGGCUGAUACCGCCCAAGAGUUCAUAUCGACGGCGGUGUUUGGCACCUCGAUGUCGGCUCAUCACAUCCUGGGGCUGAAGUAGGUCCCAAGGGUAUGGCUGUUCGCCAUUUAAAGUGGUACGCGAGCUGGGUUUAGAACGUCGUGAGACAGUUCGGUCCCUAUCUGCCGUGGGCGCUGGAGAACUGAGGGGGGCUGCUCCUAGUACGAGAGGACCGGAGUGGACGCAUCACUGGUGUUCGGGUUGUCAUGCCAAUGGCACUGCCCGGUAGCUAAAUGCGGAAGAGAUAAGUGCUGAAAGCAUCUAAGCACGAAACUUGCCCCGAGAUGAGUUCUCCCUGACCCUUUAAGGGUCCUGAAGGAACGUUGAAGACGACGACGUUGAUAGGCCGGGUGUGUAAGCGCAGCGAUGCGUUGAGCUAACCGGUACUAAUGAACCGUGAGGCUUAACCUU